AGUGCUGGAACGUGCAGACCUCCCUGAGCCUCAGAAGGAGUGGAGGACUGCAUAUCAGUUAGGAAGAUUCGCCCUGAGCUAACAUCUGUUGCCAAUCUUUCUCUUUUUGCUUGAGGAAGAUUUGUCCUGAGCUAACUUCUGUGCCAACCUUCCUCCAUUUUGUAUGAUCACACCAUGCUCAUUCAUACACAAAGAAGUCUGGGAGCAGAGCAGCCACCCACUCUCUCCAUGUCAGCCAGCGGUCCAAUGGACAAGGUCAUGUUCUGCGACUGGUUUAUCACUUCCUGCCAGUGGCCACUGCAUGAGAUACCUGGACAACUUAUCUACAUGAGAAACAAUGUCUAUGGAGAUGAAAAAUAAGUAUGCCCAUUUCCAAGGACUUGUGGAUGUGAGGAAGGGAAAUAAAGCUGAAUAUUAACAUUGUCAGCUCCUAUUGAGGAAGGAGAAAACAUUUAUGAAUACUACUUAGAACUCUCAAGGAGAGAAACAUAGAACACAAAGACAAUGUAAUAAUUUACAUUGAAACAUAGAACACAAAAACAAGAUAAUAAUUCUAAAUGUAAAAAUUUAAUAGAUAAAACUGG
rnacentral:lncRNA from 1 species